GUGCUUGCUUCAGCAGCACAUAUACUUUUAAAAAUUGGAAUGAUACAGAGAAGAUUAGCAUGGCUCCUGCACAAGGAUGAUAUGCAAAUUCAUGAAGAAUUCCAUUAAAUA
ensembl:snRNA U6 U6 spliceosomal RNA